ACGAACGCUGGCGGCACGCUUAACACAUGCAAGUCGAACGAGAGAAGAGAAGCUUGCUUUUCUGAUCUAGUGGCGGACGGGUGAGUAACACGUGAGCAAUCUGCCUUUCAGAGGGGGAUACCGAUUGGAAACGAUCGUUAAUACCGCAUAACAUAAUUGAACCGCAUGAUUUGAUUAUCAAAGAUUUAUCGCUGAAAGAUGAGUUCGCGUCUGAUUAGCUAGUUGGUAAGGUAACGGCUUACCAAGGCGACGAUCAGUAGCCGGACUGAGAGGUUGAUCGGCCACAUUGGGACUGAGACACGGCCCAGACUCCUACGGGAGGCAGCAGUGGGGAAUAUUGCACAAUGGAGGAAACUCUGAUGCAGCGAUGCCGCGUGAGGGAAGAAGGUUUUAGGAUUGUAAACCUCUGUCUUCAGGGACGAAAAAAGACGGUACCUGAGGAGGAAGCUCCGGCUAACUACGUGCCAGCAGCCGCGGUAAUACGUAGGGAGCGAGCGUUGUCCGGAAUUACUGGGUGUAAAGGGAGCGUAGGCGGGAUCGCAAGUCAGAUGUGAAAACUAUGGGCUUAACCCAUAAACUGCAUUUGAAACUGUGGUUCUUGAGUGAAGUAGAGGUAAGCGGAAUUCCUAGUGUAGCGGUGAAAUGCGUAGAUAUUAGGAGGAACAUCAGUGGCGAAGGCGGCUUACUGGGCUUUAACUGACGCUGAGGCUCGAAAGCGUGGGGAGCAAACAGGAUUAGAUACCCUGGUAGUCCACGCCGUAAACGAUGAUUACUAGGUGUGGGGGGACUGACCCCUUCCGUGCCGCAGCAAACGCAAUAAGUAAUCCACCUGGGGAGUACGACCGCAAGGUUGAAACUCAAAGGAAUUGACGGGGGCCCGCACAAGCAGUGGAGUAUGUGGAUUAAUUCGAAGCAACGCGAAGAACCUUACCAGGUCUUGACAUCGUAUGCAUAGCUCAGAGAUGAGUGAAAUCUCUUCGGAGACAUAUAGACAGGUGGUGCAUGGUUGUCGUCAGCUCGUGUCGUGAGAUGUUGGGUUAAGUCCCGCAACGAGCGCAACCCUUACUGUUAGUUGCUACGCAAGAGCACUCUAGCAGGACUGCCGUUGACAAAACGGAGGAAGGUGGGGAUGACGUCAAAUCAUCAUGCCCCUUAUGACCUGGGCCUCACACGUACUACAAUGGCUGUCAACAGAGGGAUGCAAAGCCGCGAGGUGGAGCGAACCCCUAAAAGCAGUCUUAGUUCGGAUUGUAGGCUGCAACCCGCCUACAUGAAGUCGGAAUUGCUAGUAAUCGCAGAUCAGCAUGCUGCGGUGAAUACGUUCCCGGGCCUUGUACACACCGCCCGUCACGCCAUGGGAGUCGGUAACACCCGAAGCCUGUAGUCUAACCGCAAGGAGGACGCAGUCGAAGGUGGGAUUGAUGACUGGGGUG
rnacentral:rRNA from 1 species